GCCAGGCCGACUGACGUUUCGCCAGGCCGGCCCUGCGCCGGCCGCAACACCGCCGAUCGGGCCUGUCCGCCCGGGCGGCGCGCCGUGUCCUUUGCUGCCGGGUCGUUUCGACCCGGCAGGUUUUUGCGACCGCGACGCCGGCCUGCGCCAGCGUUGCGCAAAUAGGACGCUGUGACCGUCUUGUUAAAAUUUGGCUAAACGCGUGAUAUUCUCAAUUCCGUUCAGUUCCCGUCUGAGCGGACGUUCCCAGACUGUCUCCCAUGACCCAGCAACGCACCCUCAAGAACACGAUCCGCGCCACCGGCGUGGGCCUGCAUAGCGGCGACAAGGUGU
rnacentral:sRNA from 1 species